CGUGUUAAAGAGUGCAACAUGAUCGUGUCUCUGGUUGACAUGAUGCAGUCUCCGACAUGCGAAUCGUCGACUUUCCUAAAGAUCUAGGCGACCUUGUCUCAAACAAGACCUGUUCUAGAAUCUGUUGUCGUUGCACGGUUCAGGAGGAUUACCCAUAGCCUUACAGCUAUUACACUUACACCUGCAUUGUGACAUCACAACUAUCAUGUCUGUGAUUGGCUCAAAAUCAACUUUAUUUCUUGUCGAACGCACGUACCAUCAGACACAUCUCAACACAGUACAGUACACAUAGGAAGGGUCUUGCCAAGGCUCGCCCCAAUGAAGCUAUUCCGACCAAUAGACGAGAAGUGGUGUCAUUACCAACCAAUAGACAACGUGAUGUCAUGAUAAGGCUCCACCUCUCUUUGUUUGUCAGCUGUGCUAUGAGAAUUCAGCCAUCAAUAAACAAUUUAGAUUGUCACUUGAACUAUUGUGGUGGUGCUCCUUGCCACCAUUUAGACAUUUCCCAUGUCUGUAGUUGAUUACAUCAUCAAUACCCAAACCUACAGAUACAAAUAGACAUUGCAAUGUCCAUUCCUAUCAUUAGGUCGACAACCUUCCACUGAAAUGUGACAAAGCUUGAAGAAAAAGGAUGUGGCACCCAAACUGGCAUCCUAACGCCAUCAACACACGGGCACCCCCAGCAGCAGCUUUGGAAUUUGCACAACCCUAUUCAGCAAUGACACUUGCACAACAUUCUUCAGCAACAGCAACAUCAGCAAUAGUACUUGUACUCCCACCACCACCACCAACAGCACCUUUCCCACUUCCAACAGCAGCAGCAACUCUACUAGGAGCAGCAACAGU